rnacentral:rRNA from 1 species
ACGUACACUCCUGCGGGAGGCAGCAGCGGGGAAUUUUGGACAAUGGGCGAAAGCCUGAUCCAGCCAUGCCGCGUGCAGGAUGAAGGCCUUCGGGUUGUAAACUGCUUUUGUACGGAACGAAACGGCCUUUUCUAAUAAAGAGGGCUAAUGACGGUACCGUAAGAAUAAGCACCGGCUAACUACGUGCCAGCAGCCGCGGUAAUACGUAGGGUGCAAGCGUUAAUCGGAAUUACUGGGCGUAAAGCGUGCGCAGGCGGUUAUGUAAGACAGUUGUGAAAUCCCCGGGCUCAACCUGGGAACUGCAUCUGUGACUGCAUAGCUAGAGUACGGUAGAGGGGGAUGGAAUUCCGCGUGUAGCAGUGAAAUGCGUAGAUAUGCGGAGGAACACCGAUGGCGAAGGCAAUCCCCUGGACCUGUACUGACGCUCAUGCACGAAAGCGUGGGGAGCAAACAGGAUUAGAUACCCCGGUAGUCCC